AGCCAUUCAAAUUUUUCUUAAUUUUGUACACCACAAAUUCAUUCUUGUGCAGCACGAAUUCAACCCGGUAUAUAAAUCUCUUUACUUCACUGCAUUUACCCAACAAAUCCAACAAAAAGAUUCAGUCUUAUAUAAUUCAUCCUGUUUCUUCCUACCUACUGCAGAAAUCUCAAUCGGUAAUUUUAGUUAUUUUGUAAAGCUAUGAAAUUUUAUUCACAAUUUUCUUCAUUAUUUUCAUAUCUGCAUCAAAAAUCAAAAACACCCACAAAUUCUAUUUUUCCUUUUCUUUACACUGCAUAAAUGAAUCAUUUUAUCUGUAUUUCAUAAGAAAAACCAAAUUGAACGAAUCUCAAAAGAAAAUAGAAGUAGUGAAAGAGGGAUGGUGGCUUAGGAACAGGGGGAAGGGGUGGUUGGACAGCACCGCCGUGCGCUGCAUGCGCCAAGGCGGCGGCGGAGAGAAGCUGGGGUGGCGACCGGUGGUGGAGAAGAAGCAUGACAGCAGCAGCGCCGAAUGGAGACGGAGGGAAGCGGCCUGACCAACCGCUGCUCUCUGUCGUGGGACGGCGAGGGUGGCCGCGCUGUCGGCUGAAGAGAAAAAGGUGAGGGCGGUGUUGGGCAGGAGCAGGCGACGGCUGGCGAGGGAUGAGGCCGGAGGAGGAGUCAGCCACGGCUUGGAGCGGCGAGGAGAAGGGCAGA
rnacentral:lncRNA from 1 species